AAUGUUUGUCAUUGGAGGCAACUCUGAACCAGCCAUGCCUCGUGCAGGAUGACGCUCCUAUGGAUUGUAAACUGCCUUUGUUCAGGAAGAAAAAGAGUUACUUUUUGCUCAUUAACGGCACUGUAAGGAUAAGGAUUGGCUAUCUCCGUGACAGCAUCCGCUGUAAUCUGGAGGAUCCAUGCGUUAUCCGGAAUCAUUGGGUUUAAAGGGUCCGUAGGCGGGCUUAUAAGUAAGCGGUGAAAGUUUUUGGCUUAACCAAAAAAUUGGCGUUGAUACUGUAGGGCUUGAAUUUUUGUGAAGUAACUAGAAUAUGUAGUGUAGCGGUGAAAUGCUUAGAUAUUACAUGGAAUACCAAUUGCGAAGUCAGGUUACUAACAAACGAUUGACGCUGAUGGACGAAAGCGUGGGUAGCGAACA
rnacentral:rRNA from 1 species